CCCACAAGUAGAUACGUAUACUGUGUUAGAAUAUAGACAUCUUGUUUAUUCUGGUGUCUAAAGUAUCUAAUUUUAUUCAGUGGUAUCAUUGCCUUUUUAGGUCUUGCAAAACUAAAUGAAUGAAAUGAAAUGAAUGAAAAAUGUAUUUCACUAUCUGUUAAAAAUAUCCAGAUACAGAUCUAUAUGAUAUUGUUCACUUUUGCAUUAUUCUUUCAAGUAUAUUCUCAUUGUUCCUGGUCUGUUAUGUGAAAUGUGUAAGUAGUAUUAAUAAACAUGCUUGAGAGGUCAUGUUACAUAUAUAUAUAUGUUUACUGAAAAGAUAUUGUUAAGCACUUGUAUAACUAAAAGGCUAAAUAAAUGUUUACAUGCAUGUAUAUAUAUGUAUUUAUUAAGUAUACUAUAUAUUCCAAUUAUCAUUGUAUAUAGUACAAGCAAAUUAUUAGCAUACACCUUACUCUUUUCAAGCUUAUAGUUCUUCAGAUACUGAUGAAGAUGAUUUGUCUUUAUACUGUACUACAUUUGGGUAUUUGUCAUUUGAUAAGCAAAUGCUGGAAAUACUUUUUUUUUAACUGUUUUUAAACAUAAACAUUCAUUUAUAUUUAAAAGAGCUGACCAUUCUUUGCAAGCUAAUUGUGUCAUAAAAACUCAACAGAAAUAAAAGUCUAAUGUAUGCAUUAUUUGUUUAUG
rnacentral:lncRNA from 1 species